rnacentral:rRNA from 1 species
AAACAACGAAGAGUUUGAUCCUGGCUCAGGAUGAACGCUAGCGACAGGCCUAACACAUGCAAGUCGAGGGGCAUCGGGGCGAGGAGCAAUCCUUGCCGCCGGCGACCGGCGCACGGGUGAGUAACGCGUAUGCGACCUGCCCGUUGCAGGGGGAUAAUCGGGAGAAAUCCCGUCUAAUACCGCGUAACGCCGCGGGGCUGCAUGGCCCUGCGGCCAAAGGGAGCGAUUCCGGCAACGGAUGGGCAUGCGUGACAUUAGCUAGUUGGCGGGGCAACGGCCCACCAAGGCGACGAUGUCUAGGGGUUCUGAGAGGAAGGUCCCCCACACUGGUACUGAGACACGGACCAGACUCCUACGGGAGGCAGCAGUGAGGAAUAUUGGUCAAUGGGCGCGAGCCUGAACCAGCCAAGUCGCGUGAGGGAUGACGGCCCUACGGGUUGUAAACCUCUUUUGUCGGGGAGCAAAUUCCGCCACGUGUGGCGGAGUCGAGAGUACCCGAAGAAAAAGCAUCGGCUAACUCCGUGCCAGCAGCCGCGGUAAUACGGAGGAUGCGAGCGUUAUCCGGAUUUAUUGGGUUUAAAGGGUGCGUAGGCGGACUGUCAAGUCAGCGGUAAAAUACGGGGGCUCAACCUCCGCCCGCCGUUGAAACUGACGGUCUUGAGUGGGCGAGAAGUAUGCGGAAUGCGUGGUGUAGCGGUGAAAUGCAUAGAUAUCACGCAGAACUCCGAUUGCGAAGGCAGCAUACCGGCGCCCGACUGACGCUGAAGCACGAAAGCGUGGGUAUCGAACAGGAUUAGAUACCCUGGUAGUCCACGCAGUAAACGAUGAAUACUAGCUGUCCGGGGCGAAUGAGCCCUGGGUGGCACAGCGAAAGCGUUAAGUAUUCCACCUGGGGAGUACGCCGGCAACGGUGAAACUCAAAGGAAUUGACGGGGGCCCGCACAAGCGGAGGAACAUGUGGUUUAAUUCGAUGAUACGCGAGGAACCUUACCCGGGCUCAAACGACACAGGAACGUACCUGAAAGGGUUCGGCUCUACGGAGCCUGUGUCGAGGUGCUGCAUGGUUGUCGUCAGCUCGUGCCGUGAGGUGUCGGCUUAAGUGCCAUAACGAGCGCAACCCCCAUCGACAGUUGCUAACAGGUCAGGCUGAGGACUCUGUCGAGACUGCCGGCGCAAGCUGCGAGGAAGGCGGGGAUGACGUCAAAUCAGCACGGCCCUUACGUCCGGGGCGACACACGUGUUACAAUGGCAGGUACAGCGGGAAGCCACCUGGCGACAGGGAGCGGAACCCGAAAGCCUGUCUCAGUUCGGAUUGGAGUCUGCAACCCGACUCCAUGAAGCUGGAUUCGCUAGUAAUCGCGCAUCAGCCACGGCGCGGUGAAUACGUUCCCGGGCCUUGUACACACCGCCCGUCAAGCCAUGGAAGCCGGGGGUGCCUGAAGUGCGCUGCCGCGAGGAGCGCCCUAGGGUAAAACCGGUGACUGGGGCUAAGUCGUAACAAGGUAGCCGUACCGGAAGGUGCGGCUGGAACACCUCCUUUCU